GUCGUAACAAGGUCUCCGUAGGUGAACCUGCGGAGGGAUCAUUACACAAAUAUGAAGGCGGGCUGGAACCUCUCGGGGUUACAGCCUUGCUGAAUUAUUCACCCUUGUCUUUUGCGUACUUCUUGUUUCCUUGGUGGGUUCGCCCACCACUAGGACAAACAUAAACCUUUUGUAAUUGCAAUCAGCGUCAGUAACAAAUUAAUAAUUACAACUUUCAACAACGGAUCUCUUGGUUCUGGCAUCGAUGAAGAACGCAGCGAAAUGCGAUAAGUAGUGUGAAUUGCAGAAUUCAGUGAAUCAUCGAAUCUUUGAACGCACAUUGCGCCCUUUGGUAUUCCAAAGGGCAUGCCUGUUCGAGCGUCAUUUGUACCCUCAAGCUUUGCUUGGUGUUGGGCGUCUUGUCUCUAGCUUUGCUGGAGACUCGCCUUAAAGUAAUUGGCAGCCGGCCUACUGGUUUCGGAGCGCAGCACAAGUCGCACUCUCUAUCAGCAAAGGUCUAGCAUCCAUUAAGCCUUUUUUUCAACUUUUGACCUCGGAUCAGGUUGGGAUACCCGCUGAACUUAAGCAUAU
rnacentral:rRNA from 1 species